rnacentral:piRNA from 1 species
UGUUGAUAGAUGAAGAUGGGAAGGAGAUGU